GAUGAACGCUGGCGGCGUGCUUAACACAUGCCAGUCGAACGGACAGGCCCUGAUUUUGUGGGGUGCUCGAGUGGCGAACGGGUGAGUAACACGCGUGUAAAACGCACUUGACUUUGGGAUAACUCCACGAAACUGGGGCUCAUAUCGGAUAGGAGCUACUGCUGCAUGGUGGGGGUUGGAAAGUUUCGGCGGUUGGGGAUGGACUCGCGGCUUAUCGGCUUGUUGGUGGGGUAGUGGCUUACCAAGGCUUUGACGGGUAGCCGGCCUGGGAGGGUGACCAGCCACAUUGCGACUGAGAUACGGCGCAGACGCCUACGGUAGGCAGCAGUCGAGAAUAUUGCACAAUGGGCGGAAGCCUGAGGCAGCGACGCCGCGUGCGUGAAGACGGCCUUCUGGUUGUAAACCGCUUUCUCCUGUGACGAAGCGUGAUUGACGGUAAUGAGUAAAGAAGCACCGGCUAACUACGUG
rnacentral:rRNA from 1 species